AGUCUUUUAGUAUAUUUUUGUAUGUCUGACUUCCAAUCAGAAGGGYAAAAAGAUUA
rnacentral:tRNA from 1 species